rnacentral:rRNA from 1 species
CCUACGGGGGGUUGCAGUGGGGAAUAUUGGACAAUGGGCGAAAGCCUGAUCCAGCCAUGCCGCGUGUGUGAAGAAGGCCUUCGGGUUGUAAAGCACUUUCAGUGGGGAAGAAAGCCUUGGGGCUAAUACCCUCGAGGAAGGACAUCACCCACAGAAGAAGCACCGGCUAACUCCGUGCCAGCAGCCGCGGUAAUACGGAGGGUGCGAGCGUUAAUCGGAAUUACUGGGCGUAAAGCGCGCGUAGGCGGUCUGAUAAGCCGGUUGUGAAAGCCCCGGGCUCAACCUGGGAACGGCAUCCGGAACUGUCAGGCUAGAGUGCAGGAGAGGAAGGUAGAAUUCCCGGUGUAGCGGUGAAAUGCGUAGAGAUCGGGAGGAAUACCAGUGGCGAAGGCGGCCUUCUGGACUGACACUGACGCUGAGGUGCGAAAGCGUGGGUAGCAAACAGGAUUAGAUACCCCAGUAGUC